CAGCACCUCAAGUGGUCAGGAUGAUUAUUGGGCCUAAAGCAUCCGUAGCCGGCGCUGUAAGUUUUCGGUUAAAUCUGUACGCUCAACGUACAGGCUGCCGGGAAUACUGCAGCGCUAGGGAGUGGGAGAGGUAGACGGUACUCGGUAGGAAGGGGUAAAAUCCUUUGAUCUAUUGAUGACCACCUGUGGCGAAGGCGGUCUACCAGAACACGUCCGACGGUGAGGGAUGAAAGCUGGGGGAGCAAACCGGAUUAGAUACCCGUGUAGUCC
rnacentral:rRNA from 1 species